rfam:Salmo salar isolate Sally breed double haploid chromosome ssa04, whole genome shotgun sequence.
UGCAUUCACUACUGUAAGUCGCUCUGGAUAAGAGCGUCUACUAAAUUACGAAAA